UACGUAGGGACCAAGCGUUGUCCGGAAUCAUUGGGCGUAAAGAGCGUGUAGGCGGCUUGUUAAGUCUUGCGUGAAAUCUCGGGGCUCAACCCCGAGCGGUCGUGAGAAACUGGCAGGCUAGAGUGCGGGAGAGGAGAGUGGAAUUCCUGGUGUAGCGGUGAAAUGCGCAGAUAUCAGGAGGAACACCGAUGGCGAAGGCAGAUCUCUGGGCCGUAACUGACGCUGAGGAGCGAAAGCAUGGGGAGCGAACAGG
rnacentral:rRNA from 1 species